UGCCUGCCUCGUCUGCUCCUCAACGCUCGAGGAUUGCUCAUGUUGAGAACCGUUUACAUGCACGACUGCUUCCGUCUCAGUUUAAAUAUGUUAAAAUCAUUUUACCUGCUCAUCGUUCUCCUGGUUCCUGCAUCGGGGGGUCAUUACCGUUGUGGAGGGGGGCGUGGCCUGCGGGCUUGCAGCGGAACGGGGUGUGCCAGGACCGGCCUCGAAGACAGCGACAGCAGCUGCCGUGACGAGACGAGUAGUUGGAGUUGGAGGUGCUGCUGAGAGACACAGACGCAGAAAAGACACUUUGCUGAAAAGCAAAAGACUUUGCACAAUUCGAGGAAAAUAAAAC